rnacentral:tRNA from 2 species
GCUCCCAUCGUCUAGCCCGGUCAGGACGCCAGGUUUUCAUCCUGGUAACAGGGGUUCGAAUCCCCUUGGGAGUA